AGUGAACGCUGGCGGUAGGCCUAACACAUGCAAGUCGAACGGCAGCACAGGAGAGCUUGCUCUCUGGGUGGCGAGUGGCGGACGGGUGAGGAAUACAUCGGAAUCUACUCUGUCGUGGGGGAUAACGUAGGGAAACUUACGCUAAUACCGCAUACGACCUACGGGUGAAAGCAGGGGACCUUCGGGCCUUGCGCGAUUGAAUGAGCCGAUGUCGGAUUAGCUAGUUGGCGGGGUAAAGGCCACCAAGGCGACGAUCCGUAGCUGGUCUGAGAGGAUGAGCGGCGACACUGGACAUGAGACACGGUCCAGACUCCUACGGGAGGCAGCAGUGGGGAAUAUUGGACAAUGGGCGCAAGCCUGAUCCAGCCAUACCGCGUGGGUGAAGAAGGCCUUCGGGUUGUAAAGCCCUUUUGUUGGGAAAGAAAUCCAGCCGGCUAAUACCCGGUUGGGAUGACGGUACCCAAAGAAUAAGCACCGGCUAACUUCGUGCCAGCCGCCGCGGUAA
rnacentral:rRNA from 1 species